rnacentral:rRNA from 1 species
UACGGAGGGUGCAAGCGUUAUCCGGAAUCACUGGGCUUAAAGGGCGCGUAGGCGGUCCGACAAGUCGGGGGUGAAAUCCUGCAGCUUAACUGCAGAAGUGCCUUCGAUACUGUCGGUCUUGAGGGAGAUAGGGGUGUGCGGAACUUCCAGUGGAGCGGUGAAAUGCGUUGAUAUUGGAAGGAACGCCGGAGGCGAAAGCGGCGCACUGGAUCUCUACUGACGCUGAGGCGCGAAAGCCAGGGGAGCAAACGGG